CCUACGGGUGGCAGCAGUGAGGAAUAUUGGUCAAUGGGCGCGAGCCUGAACCAGCCAAGUCGCGUGAGGGAAGACGGUCCUAUGGAUUGUAAACCUCUUUUGUCGGGGAGCAAAGGCCGCCACGUGUGGCGGUCCGAGAGUACCCGAAGAAAAAGCAUCGGCUAACUCCGUGCCAGCAGCCGCGGUAAUACGGAGGAUGCGAGCGUUAUCCGGAUUUAUUGGGUUUAAAGGGUGCGGAGGCGGAUUAUUAAGUCAGCGGUCAAAUCGUGGGGCUCAACCCCAUCCAGCCGUUGAAACUGGGGAUCUUGAGUGUGCGAGAAGUAUGCGGAAUGCGUGGUGUAGCGGUGAAAUGCAUAGAUAUCACGCAGAACCCCGAUUGCGAAGGCAGCAUACCGGCGCACAACUGACGCUGAGGCACGAAAGCGUGGGUAUCGAACAGGAUUAGAUACCCCUGUAGUC
rnacentral:rRNA from 1 species